AUGGGAGAUGUGGAGGGCAGGGGAAAGAAGGUGUGGGCUGUCAGGAUCUCUCUUCAGCUGUGGUCAGAAAAAAUAUUUUCUUUCCCUGAAAACUGAUCCCAAAGUGGUCCCAGAUGUGAAGACAAGGGAUGUCAGAAUACUAAGAAAAUACUUAAACCAGACGAAGUUUGAGAUCUCUCAGGAAGACUUAGCAACACUGACCCUACCAUGAGUAAUACAACCCAAGUCCUUUACUAACACCAUUUAAAAUUAUUUGGCUUGGAGGAGAGAAGCCUAGGGAAGACCACAGUACAUAGGCUGAACUGAGCUAAACCUCAUGAAGAAUGUCUGGAAAGAAAAUGAGUCUGUUUCCUGUUUGUACCUAUGAUUCCAUCUGGCUUACAAAAAGCCCG
rnacentral:lncRNA from 1 species